rnacentral:rRNA from 12 species
GGCGACUGAAGCGGGAAGAGCCCAUGCUGUAAAUCUCUUCGGAGAAUUGUAGUCUAAAAAUCGUUUACCAGCGGUGCUCGAGCAGCAAGUCUCCUGGAACGGAGCCCCUGAGAGGGUGAUAGGCCCGUACCUGCUUGGGUAGUCGCGUAUGGUGUUUGACUGACGAGUCGAGUUGCUUGGGAAUGCAGCUCUAAGUGGGUGGUAAAUUCCAUCUAAGGCUAAAUAUCGGUGGGAGACCGAUAGCGAACAAGUACCGUGAGGGAAAGAUGCAAAGAACUUUGAAAAGAGAGUUAAAAAGGGCCUGAAACUGGUAAGAGGGAACCGAAC